AGUGUGUGUGUGUGUUUGUGUGUGUGUGAGUGUGUGUGAGAGAGUGUGUGUGUGUGUUUGUGUGUGUGUUUGUGAGUGUGUGUGCAAAAGUAGGAGGAAGAGAAUGGCAUUACAGCAAAACCUCAUUAACACCUGUAUUGCGACCCUAACAGACGAUUGGAGAAGUUGUUCACAUAUGUACACGCAUGUACACGUCGUCUCUAUGACAACCACCUUCUCGACUCACGACAGACAGCUUUCGCUCUUUUGCGACUUUUCUGCAAUAAUCGCUCGUUGAGAAAUAUUGUUGUGGCUGAGCGUUGACCCUUUGACCUCCUUGUGUACAAAUAACAUCAGGUCAGUUGAGUUCACUUAAAGACUGUUUAGUCCUGGGUCGCUGGUCACUAGCCAUGACCAUGUCGUCCCACGUGUCUACUGUCCUCUACCCUGACCUGAAUGUCCAACACACUGAGGGGAAGCGUGAGUACGUGAGUGGUGGAAUUUUCUACUGAUGCUGAGGUUGAGUCGUGAGUCGCGAGUCGUGAGUCGUGUAACUGAUGUCUGCACGUUCACCCUGAUCCGCGGAAUUCGUAUUCAAGAAGCCGACAUGACUGAGACGAAAUUCCAUUCACAUUUAACCUACUUCGCCGAAGGGACCUCUACCUAGACGUGGAGUUCCGUGAGUAUGAUUAGUUUACCAAACAUCUACCCCAUGCACGUACGUACCCAGGGUGCUCCCGUUUUUUCUGUGCGGUUUAUAGGCGGCGCAUCAGAAAAAAUGCAAUCCACCCUCUAAGCUUUGUGUGGUGGAACUAUCCUGCUUUCGGCCUGCACGUGCAAGAAGUUUGAAAUAAUGCAGGGUAACAAUACAUUUGGGCAGGGUACAUCCUGAGAGGGUACAUCAUGAGAGGCACGGCGCCACCUACCGGCGGCUGCUAAAGUCGACGACGACCCACCCGCCCAGGAACAUUGCAGCAUGUGUUGCUGGGUUACCCGCUCCAUUAAGUUUCAUCAUCGAUGAGGGACUCGUCGGCUGCAGGCUGGCGGCUCUCUUUAUGGGCGUCACGUGGUACACACGUCACUUGCCUGGUCCUCUACAUAAGGGCGGUAAGCAGGUCAUGUUGGAACGUCUUUGAACGUGAGGUCUACACUUCUAACAAGCUAAGACACCUGUAAGACACCUGUAAGACACCUGUAAAACACCUGUCAACGUUUCUAGGAAGAUCGUUUUGCGAUGAUGAAGCUGCUGGUGUAUGUCGUGGCUGUCGCAGCGAUGAUGUGGCAGAUCGCGGAGACACAAGACACCUCCACUUCACAGUGCGUAGAACCAGGAGGAGACUGCUCGGGUGGCGCCACCUGCUGCGAAACAGAGCAGCUGACCUACUGCUGUAGACAAGCCAUCAUCACCAGGCCCAAUGAGACCAGGAACGUGUGUCUAGGCAAACGUUUAAAGAUUGUCGUGUAGUGACCCCAGCUGUCUGCUAGAACACACAGAGCGCUGAGCGAGCCCUCUCCUUGUCCGGGCUGAAUAAAGUAUUUGUGACUGACUCGUGACGUGUGUACUGAAGGUGUGAGCGCGAGGUGCGUGUACAAACAACGCUGAGAAAUACAGGCAACGACAUCCUAUACACAGAUAUGUUGUCGUGCCUCUUACUGCUACAUCUUUAGUAAACAAUCUUCAACAUUACUAAA
rnacentral:lncRNA from 1 species